GAAUCAGAAUGGGCCCUGUUAGCCCUAAGCCCAAGCAGGAAGGGGGGUAUGGACCGUGAAAAGGGGAAGUAUGCACAGAAUUCGCUUGACAUGGGCCUUGUCUGGAGCCUAAGGCCCAAAAAUAACAAUUGAGAAGAGAAAACCAAAUGGAGGAUCCAUCCUCCUUCUCCCAUCGCUCGCUAACCUCACAGAAGAAAAAUGAAAGAACGCUCCUCACCGGAAAAGCCUUGCCGCGCCGAAUUUCGUCACCGGCAGCGGCGAAUGAUUCACCACACUCAUUCUCGCUUCCACCACUUGCCACGAAUCUACUCCCUAUAUCCUACUCCAACUUCUUCUUUAUUGACCGAACCAGAAAGAUCAUUCUAAGAACCCUAGGUAAAAAACUUCAAUUAAGUCCUCGUAUGGAGGUAAUCAAAUCCAUGAAUUUGGGAUAAACGCUCACCUAAUCGAUGCCUUUACAACGUCGACAACACGAGGCAAAUAGGAGAAUCUUUGCGUACCUUCGACGUCGACGACGGAGCAUACGGCGGACGGCGCUUAGAUACUGAUUCGUUGCGAGCUUCUACGGAUUUUGUUGAAGUUUCUUGGUGGAUGAUGAAGGUCUCACUCGCGUCUCCACUUUGAGAUGAAGACGAAGACGUUACACCGGUAUUGCCGAUCGAAAUGAAGAAGAAGCCUCUUGGAUCGUGAGUUUCCGAUUAUUCCGAUCUCUUCUGGAUUUCUCUUUUCUAUUAUUUCUUCUUUUUCCUUCUGCUUAUCACCUUCGAGAAUGGAGAGAACUGCUGCAGAAUUGUUGCAGGAUCUUUGGUGGUUCAGUUGUGAUGAUGAUACAGUUAUGCGGAAGAAUUGAAGAGUAUGAUUGGAAGCGGUUGAAGGUUUGUUACUGUGAUGGCUGGGAGAAAAGUUGGUUAGAGAUGCGAUGAGGUUGAAGAAGAAGAAUCUGGAAGGGGUGAAGAUUGAUUUAUAGAGUGAUGGAGAGGUUAGAGAAUUUUGUUCAUGGCUGGCUCACGUUUGGAGUUUGGUUUACGGCGUCGGCAUUGGCUUGUAAUGCUGCAUUUCAACUUCUGUUUAGCAGCUGGUAUUGUUAUGCGCUUGGAUCACGCUUGGUUCAGGCUUGGUAUGCGUUUUGCACUUGAAUUGCCGGCGUGCUUGGCUUGUGCAUUGCAGCAGCUUUUUCACUUUACUAUUUUUCUGCUUUUUCCUUAAUGCACACUAAUUAAAGGACUAAUGAUAAGGGAUGUAAAAGGUGAAUUUUAGAUUCAACUGGAAUUACUGAAAAAUGGAUAAUUGGAUUGGUUUAUGAAUGGAUGUUAAUUGGAAUGGGAUUGGAUUAA